GUCCAUAUCCCGUUGAAACACCGGUUAUUGUCCGAUCACCAAAGUUAAGCAAUGUUGAGCCUGGUCACUACUCAGAUGGGUAAUCACUAGUGAAUAUCAGGUCCUGUAAG